rnacentral:rRNA from 1 species
AACCAGGAGGUUGGCUUAGAAGCAGCCAUCCUUUAAAGAGUGCGUAAUAGCUCACUGGUCAAGUGGUUCUGCGCCGAUAAUGUAGCGGGGCUUAAGCACACCGCCGAAGCUGUGGAGCCCGGGACUUUGUUCUCGGGUUGGUAGGGGAGCGUCGUGCGUUCGGAGAAGCCGCCGAGUGAUCGUGUGGUGGAGGGCGUGCGAGUGAGAAUGCAGGCAUGAGUAGCGAGAGCAACGUGAGAAACGUUGCCGCCG